CUUAUAUUCAUUUAAUAUAAAAAAUGACUUUAAUAACCCCAGCAGUCUAGUCACUGGCAGUAUCCAUGGCCAAGAUUUUAUGAAUAUAAUUUGUCUUUGUGGUCACAAAAAUAAUGGAAACCUUUUCAGUAACAAAUAUUGGAGCUCUUGAAUGGAAAGACAUAUCAGCCCCAAGAGACUUUAGCCAACACUUUUCCUAGAAACUCAUUUACAGCCCAUCUGAGGCAGAGUUCAGAGGGACAAGAGCCCCUUUCCUAUGACUUCAGAAAAUAUCUCACAUCAACCAUUGAAUGGCCCAAGUUGGUUCAUAUGUAUAUAUGUGGAACCUGUGGUUGAGAAAUUGUCCCUUCUGAACCAUAAAGACAGAGUGUGGGGAGGCCAGAAUAGGGCAGGGAGUUAAGGUGAAUGCAUUUUUAAUAAUUUCUAAUCCACUCAGACCUUUUGCUAAAACAAAAUACCAAACGCUUCGCAUGAAGUUUGUUCUGUAACUCCACAUCCUCGCAUGUCCAUCACUACUGUGUUUCAUGUACCAUGCUGUGAAGUCAGAUUAAAAGAUGAAAAAAGCAGUUCGGAUCUUAAGGAAAUGAAAUGGCUUCUCUCAGAUGGGAACUUGUAAAGAGUCAGCCCCAUAGCACACUUCAAACAGGGGAAGCACUUUAGAGAAGUCACGUCAAAGAUCCUCUCGUGGCUAAAGGAGCAAAGGAAAAUAAAGGAACUGUCUCUGAGCCCUCAUCCAGUGGCUGAUGGAAGCAGAGGCAGACACUCACAGAUAUACUGAACUGAACUCUGGAACUUAGUUGCAGAGAGGGAGGAAUGAAGAUCAAAGGGGGUCGGUACCAGGCUGGUGAAACCCACAGAAACAGCUGGCCUGUACAAGGGGGAGCAAAUGGACCCCAGACUGCUGUCUGGGGGGCCAGCACAGGACUGAUCCAGACCCCUGAACAUGGAUGUCAAUUAGGAGGCCUCCGCACCCUAUGGGGCCUGUGGUAGUGGAUUAGUAUUUUUCCCUGGUGUAAGAAGGGACUUUGAGAGCCCAUCCCAUGUGAAGGGAUGCACUCUUGGCCUGGACACAUGGGGGAGGGCCUAGGCCCGGCCCAGGAUGAUGUGGUGGACUUUGGGGAGCCCCUGUGGAGGGCCCUACCC
rnacentral:lncRNA from 1 species